rnacentral:tRNA from 1 species
GCCCUCAUAGUUCAACGGAUAGAACGGAGAUCUCCUAAGUCUCAAAUCUAGGUUCAAUUCCUGGUGAGGGCA